rnacentral:rRNA from 1 species
ACUCCCUCGCUCGCCCUCGGUGUAAAAGCUAGUCAUCUAUCCGACCCGUCUUGAAACACGGACCAAGGAGUUUAGCGUAUACGCGAGUCAUUGAGUGUAAAACUCAAAGGCGCAAUGAAAGUAAAGGUAUCCCUUGCGGAGCUGAUAUGCGACCUCGGGUGCUUCGGUGCCCGGGAGCAGCAUAGCCCCGUCCUAAUUGCUUGCAAUGGGGCGGAGGUAGAGCGUAUUCGCUGAGACCCGAAAGAUGGUGAACUAUUCCUGAGCAGGAUGAAGCCAGUGGAAACACUGGUGGAAGUCCGAAGCGAUUCUGACGUGCAAAUCGAUCGUCUGACUUGGGUAUAGGGGCGAAAGACUAAUCGAACCAUCUAGUAGCUGGUUCCUUCCGA